rnacentral:rRNA from 1 species
AUUGAACGCUGGCGGCAUGCUUUACACAUGCAAGUCGAACGGUAACAGGCCGCAAGGUGCUGACGAGUGGCGAACGGGUGAGUAAUGCAUCGGAACGUGCCCAGUCGUGGGGGAUAACGCAGCGAAAGCUGUGCUAAUACCGCAUACGAUCUAUGGAUGAAAGCGGGGGACCGUAAGGCCUCGCGCGAUUGGAGCGGCCGAUGUCAGAUUAGGUAGUUGGUGGGGUAAAGGCCUACCAAGCCAACGAUCUGUAGCUGGUCUGAGAGGACGACCAGCCACACGGGGACUGAGACACGGCGCAGACUCCUACGGGAGGCAGCAGUGGGGAAUUUUGGACAAUGGGCGCAAGCCUGAUCCAGCAAUGCCGCGUGCAGGAAGAAGGCCUUCGGGUUGUAAACUGCUUUUGUACGGAACGAAACGGUCUGGGUUAAUACCCUGGACUAAUGACGGUACCGUAAGAAUAAGCACCGGCUAACUACGUGCCAGCCGCCGCGGUAAGAC